rnacentral:rRNA from 1 species
UACGAAGGGGGCUAGCGUUGCUCGGAAUCACUGGGCGUAAAGCGCACGUAGGCGGCUUCUUAAGUCAGGGGUGAAAUCCUGGAGCUCAACUCCAGAACUGCCUUUGAUACUGAGGAGCUUGAGUCCGGGAGAGGUGAGUGGAACUGCGAGUGUAGAGGUGAAAUUCGUAGAUAUUCGCAAGAACACCAGUGGCGAAGGCGGCUCACUGGCCCGAUACUGACGCUGAGACACGAAAGCGUGGGGAGCAAACAGG